CCAUCUUCAACACCCAAACGUAUCCUAGUAAAUGUGAUAUUGAACAUGCCUUCUGAUUUGUUUGGCCAACUGUCAUGUGCUGAUAUUGUUCCCACAGACUCCCGCCCAAAGCCGUCUGGAAGUAGUUUCAAGUGAAAAAAAAAAUGGAAAAAGUGGUGGCCAGCCCCAGAGAAUGGAUCGAUCGGAACGAGAGCGCCAAAGCGAUGCUCGCUAGGGUUUUAACAGCGCGCCCCUUGUUGCUUCUUCCCCCACUUCAUAGGGUUCCCCUACGCGUCGGUAAUGUGGUUGAGCUUGUCGGCACUUCUUCUUCUGCCAAAACCCAAAUCCUGAUACAGGCUGCAGUGAGUUGUGUUCUUCCUAAAGAGUGGAAUGGGGUGUACUAUGGAGGCCUCGACCGCUUGGUAAUGUUCAUUGACUUGGACUGUCGGUUUGAUAUUUUGCGCCUUUCUAAAAUGCUGAAGCAUCGAAUAAAUGGGCAAUCUAAUGGAUCAAUAAAAAAAAUAGAUCAGGAGCACAUGGAUUUUGACUUAUGGAACAAUGAUACCAAAAAGAAUCCUACUUAUGACGAGGAAUUAUAUUCUUUGUGCAUGAGACGGUUCCUGUUCAUUCGCUGUUAUGAUAGUUUUCAGUUUCUUGCCACUCUCAAGACAUUGCACUAUCGGAUUCAGAAGGAACAAGAACUGCAUGGCAUUAGUGUUCAUAUACUCAUGAUUGACGGUAUUGGAGCUUUCCAUUGGAUAGAUCGUGCCUCAACAUUCAUGCCAUUAGGGGCUACUAACAGGAAAACCCCCUCUCUUCAGACUGUGUCAGAAACUGUAGUUCAGGAGAUUAGAAAGCUUCUGCUGCUGCAUCCCAUGCUUGUCAUAGCUACAAAAGCUACCAUUUUUGGAGAUAGAUAUUCCAUGACGGAGACCAAACGGAAUUUGGGGAAAUUGGAUGCCUCAAAUUCAAGAAGCAUUAGCAGUACAUCUCUGCAACUUCCUUACCGUGAGUACAUGCCUUCUGUCUGGCAGACCUUUGUUACACACAGGGUACUUGUAGGAGCAUCAGGUUUAGAAUUUUCUUUAUGAUGAUCCUCUCAUUCGAACCAAUGACAGUGAUCGCUCGCUCUAUUUUUCAGAAUGGCUGCUGCCACCACAGAGUUUUGUGGAUAAAUUUAUAGUCAAAGAGGCUGGUGUCUUCAUGGUCCCAUGAACUGCGUGAGGACUUGUGCAAUAUUCUUGGUUCUUUCUUGAUCUCUAACAUGAUGCCGAUCAAAAGGGGGAAGAAAAACAAUUACAAGAAACUAUUGUAAGAUUAAAGAGAAUCGAAAGAUUGUAAUAUAUGAAUCUAGCUCUUCAGGAACUCAAUAUCAUUUAUCUCAAAUUACUUAUGUAUUACAUAUGAUCCACAAGAUUCACUUUUAUAGAUAUUGAAGGAUAAGAACUA